ensembl:lncRNA
GUCAGGAUGAAUUAAGAGGGGGGUUAUUUUCUCCAGUCUCUUUGAGAGAGCUUUGCAGAUUAUUUUAAGGUCUACAUUUAUAAGGGAUAUUGGACGAUAGCUUGAGGGAUAUACAGGGUCUUUGCCUGGUUUUAGCAGGAGAUUAAUGUUUGCAGAAUUCAUAUUUGAUGGAAGUCUGCCCUUUUCUUUGAUUUCCAACAACGUUCUGUAGAAAACUGGUGCUAGAAUCGACCAGAAUUCUUUGUAGAAUUCUGCAGGAAAGCCGUCUGGACCUGGAGCCUUAUUAUUGUGCAUACUUAUCAGGGCUUCCUGGAGUUCACCUGGUGUCAGUGGUGAAUCCAGUGCCAUUGCUUGAGUGUCCAAUAAUUUUGGAAGAGUUAUGUUGUCCAAAAACUGAUCAAUUUCUUUUUUAGAUGGUUUAUUUGUGGUGAAUACAACGUUUUAUAGAAAUCCCUGAAAAUGUUGUUUAUUUGUAUCGGAUCAUAUAAUGUGUUCCCAGAUGAAUCUUGAACAGCACAUAUAGUUGUUUUUUCUUUAUUUAUUUUUAGCUGGUUUGCUAGAAAUUGACCGGAUUUAUUACUAUGUUCAUAAUUUUGUAGGCGUAGUCUUUGUACUAAGAAUUUUGUUUUUUUAUCAAUUAUCUCAUUUAAUUCUAGUUUUGUUUUGCGUAUUUUGUUCAAUGUUUCCUGAUCUUGGUGGGACGCGUAGGCUUCUUCUAGUGAUUUGAUGUUUUUUUCUAAUUCCUGAAUAUUUUUGUUUUCUUCUUUCUUUUUAUGUGAUGAGAAAGAAAUUAUUUUACCUCUCAUCACAGCUUUCCCUGCUUCCCAUAGAACAGAAGCUGAUGUUUCGGGAGUGUCAUUAUAGUCCAAAUAUGAAGUCCACUCUUUUUUAAAAUAUUUAAUAAAGUCUUCAUCUUUAAGUAGUGAUAUAUUAAAUCUCCAGUUUUUUCUUGGCGUAGUAUUAUUCUUGUGCAUUAGUGUUAAAGAUACAGGACCAUGAUCGCUGACAGCUAUAGGGUGAAUCUCAGUGUCUGAAAUGUCGUUCAGCAGUGAGCUGCUGACCAAAAAAUAAUCCAGACGAGAGUAAGAGUGAUGGACAUGUGAGAAAAAAGUAUAUUCCUUACUGGUGGGGUGAAGAGAGCGCCAUGCAUCGCAAAGACCAAAGUCACUCAUAUACUGUUUGAUUAUAUUUAUGGACUGCCAAUUACGCUGAGUUCCCGCUGUAUCGAGCCUAUCCAUGUCUUCAUUUAGUCCAAGGUUGAGGUCACCUCCAAGAACAAGUGUGCCAUCUAAGUGUUCAGAGA